CCUACACAUGCAAGUCGAGGGGUAACCAGAAUAAUAGCAAUAUUAUUUUGGCUAGACCGGCGCACGGGUGCGUAACACGUAUGCAACCUACCUUAUACAGGAGGAUAACUCCGAGAAAUCGGGGCUAAUAUUCCAUAACACAGUGAAGUGGCAUCACUUUAUUGUUAAAGCUGAGGCGGUAUAAGAUGGGAAUGCGUCCAAUUAGCUAGUUGGUGAGGUAAUGGCUCACCAAGGCUACGAUUGGUAGGGGUUCUGAGAGGAUGAUCCCCCACACUGGUACUGAGACACGGACCAGACUCNUACGGGAGGCAGCAGUGAGGAAUAUUGCGCAAUGGACGAAAGUCUGACGCAGCCAUGCCGCGUGCAGGAUGAAGGCCCUAUGGGUUGUAAACUGCUUUUGUACGGGAAUAAACCCUUCUACGUGUAGAAGGCUGAAGGUACCGUAAGAAUAAGCACCGGCUAACUCCGUGCCAGCAGCCGCGGUAAUACGGAGGGUGCAAGCGUUAUCCGGAUUUAUUGGGUUUAAAGGGUCCGUAGGCGGAUCGUUAAGUCAGUGGUGAAAGCCCGCAGCUCAACUGCGGGAACUGCCAUUGAUACUGGCGAUCUUGAGUACAAUUGAAGUGGGCGGGAAUGUGUGGUGUAGCGGUGAAAUGCUUUAGAUAUCACACAGAACACCNGAUUGCGGAAGGCAGCUCACUAAUUUGUUAACUGACGCUGGAG
rnacentral:rRNA from 1 species